UCUCUUCUCGAAGAGGAGACGUAUUUUCUGAUUGUACCAACCUGUGUGCCCUAGGUCUCCUCCUUGGAUUUGGCUGGGGCCAACUCUUUGGCUCAGGGGAGGAACACAUUGGUCCCGGAUGCAGCUUCUGGCUGAUUCGCUCUGGCGUUUUCUCAGGGAGGGGACAAACUGAAAGAGAGAGAGAAUCUUAAGCAGCCUCCAUGCCCAACACAGAGCCUGAUGUAGGGCUCCAUCUCACCACCCUAGAUCAUGAGCUGAGCCAAAAUCAAGAGACGGAUGCUUACCCGACUGAGCCAUCUAGGAGCUCCUCAGGGAUAUCUGCUGAGAAACACAACUGCACUUGUGACAUGGGACCAAGGGGGACAGAACUAGAGCCAAAGGUAAGUGCAGACCAGAAGUGGAUUUACAGAUAGCAGUUAUCUUUUGGGAAGAAAGA
rnacentral:lncRNA from 1 species